rnacentral:rRNA from 1 species
UACGUACGCAACCUUCCUUCAAGUGAGGAAUAGCCCAGGGAAACUUGGAUUAAUACCUCGUAACAUUGUGAAGUGGCAUCACUUUAUAAUUAUAGCUCAGGCGCUUGAAGAUGGGCGUGCGACUGAUUAGGUAGUUGGCGGAGUAACAGCCCACCAAGCCUGCGAUCAGUAACUGGUGUGAGAGCACGACCAGUCACACGGGCACUGAGACACGGGCCCG